AGCGCUCACAUUGCCAGCCCCACGGCUCCCAGUGCGCCGGGAGUCAGAUUACGGCCACUUGUCUGAUUGGGUUUUUGAAGUCUUAGGGGUGGAAAGAUUCGGCACCAUGUGGCAAUCGCCAAGUUAUAUUUGAACUUGAAAUGACUUUCUCUACCUGAUCGCUAAAGACCCAGGGCAUUUCAGGAACACAAAAUGCUGGCUCACUUUAGGUUUCUUUAGCUGAUAAUCCUUGAAAAUGAGGAUUUCCCCAAAUCUUUAUUUGAAAUCCUCCCACCACAGGGAACUGCUGAGAACUUUUGUUGUUGUUGUUCUGUGUACAGAUGAAUUUGGGCGACUAUUAAGAGCACGGAUUUGCAUUAUCCAGCAGUUGAGAUGAACUGAGUGAGAUUCAGUCUUUGGUGCAUUUGUUUUUGAGUGGCGACAGAGCCAGUGGGUUCUAUGCAAAGUUUUUGCUCACAGAAGCAGUUUUUAAAGUAUUGCAGAUCACUUCAGGUCCCUUGGAGCCUGUGCAGCACUGAUUUGAGUAACAGGAUAUAAGACUGCUUUAGAGUCUCACCUGACUGUUAUGUGAACAAUUGUUCGGUAAGAAGUAGCAAAUUUUAAACAGAUAAAGGUUGGGUGGCACAAAAUUAUUGGGAACUAGCUUNNNNNNUUGUUCAGUCACUAAAUCGUGUCUGACUCUUUGCAACCCAUGGACUGCAGGAUGCUAGGCUGCUCUGUCUUCCAUUAUCUCCCCAAGUUUGCUCAAAUUCUUGUCUGUUGAUUCGGUGAUGCUAUCUAACCAUCUCAUGCACUGCUGCCCGCUUCUCCUUUUGCCUUCGAUCUUUUCCAGGAUUGAAGUCUUUUCCAGUGAGGUGGGAACUAUAAGUAAAUUUAAUAUCUAGAAACCCAAGGACAGGACUGACUUGACUGUACCAUUUGAGGGGUUCAGUGAAAAGUGAAUGCAGGACUCCUUGAAAAAUUAUGAGGAAUUUCCAGUUUGCAACAGUAGGAUAUGAAAGAAAGUGUGGGACCCUUCUAAGUGCACAGAUUGUGUGCCGGUAAGGCAGGCCCGACUAGAGUUUGGUGAACUUUGGAAGGUCUGACAGUUAGUGCCUGUAUUACCAUCUCAUUUUUUUCUUUCUUUAAAUGGACCACAAGUACCUAGAACUGGAAUAAUCAUCAUCCUUGAUAUAGGGCACUCUGUUAUCACUGGUACAUUUAUUUUAUAAUUAUAUAUUUUAAUUAG
rnacentral:lncRNA from 1 species